UCUCACAAUGUACAAUGCAAAUACAGUGCAUAUACACAUAGAGCAAAGGGAACUGAUGUUAUCGUUCAUGGCCAGUGGUAGGAGAGAUUUCACCUAUUAUUACACUUGUCUCAUUCCGGCCUCUAAAAAUACCAGAGAUCGCAAGUAUGAGAUUAUAGACUUUGUCAGAAAAGAUACUAAGUAAAUGAUUACAUGCCUAUGUGAGGCGCAUGAAAUCACUAUUUGCUGGUUCAAGUUUCUAACACAAGCUAGGCAUGGCCACUGGGGACACUUUCUCCAAUGGGCAAUUCACCCAAACAUGGGAACAUCCUUGUGGAUUUUAAUCGUUUUUUAUUUUUUCCACAAUGCUCAGUAAAGGGCUUUUAAUUAAAAUUCAGGAAAGCCAAGACGGCAAGAGUUAUGGAACUGAAGAACAACCUUAAAGAUCUAGACAGGAACAUUAAUUAAUCAGACAGGCAUUUUAUACAAAGUAGGGAAAUGGCUUUGCUUAUAUACUAUCCUUAGGGCUUGCUUGAUAGUGAUUACUUGAACAAUGAAAAGGAGAGAAAUAUCUCAUUGACAUACUGCCGUAAUUGACCCCUGACCUCUAGUAAAAGAGCAAUGAACAGAGAGUAGUUUAAUUUUUGACUAGAUUUGGCAGAUCCCGAGAAACAAGUUUUAUAGCCAAUCUCUUGAUCUCAGCUUGGAUCAUUUGGUUCAUAACUGAACAAAAGCCUGUCGUGAGCCCAAAGCCCAGCUGCAAAUUGUAUGUAAAGAAGUUGCCUGACAUUAUCUUUGAAGUAGAAUUAAAAUAGAAUAUAAGAAUAUAACUUAAACUGAAUGCAUGAAAAUACAGCUAAUACCCUAAAAAAACACUCUAAUGAGUCUUUUUUUGAGUUAAAUGUUAUAUCACAUUGCAAUAAUUUUGUUAUUAAAAUUCGCAUUUUAACAGAACAUAAUAUACACUCUCACACACACGUGUUAAACUCACACAUCAUCUUACUAUCCGAAAGGUGGCACUGUUGAGUUUAGAAAAAUGCCCCUUGCUGUUCUACUCAAUAAACAUUACUUGCUUUGUCUGUUAUUCUUUAAAAAAACAGUUUUAUUUAUUUUAAAAUGGCACUUGAAAUGUACAAAUUACUUAGUUGUUUUGUUUAUUUUAUUUUGUUGUUAUUUAGGUUUGUCAUGCCCUCUGAUUAAUCUAUUAAUAUAGCCUACAUCAAUCAUAAAUAGUUACAGAGAGCUUAUGUGAUUUUUAUUAUGUUUUAAAUUGUUCUUUAGAAUUGUAUUUGAACUAUUUUCUUAAAUGCAAAAUAUGUUAAUUUUCUGACAUACGAGCAUACAAUACAUUAUUUUAAAAGAUCUUCAAAAUGUUAAUGCUAAAACGCAUUACAAACACAAAAUAGUACACCAACGAAGCAAAAACUUAUUGAACUUAGUGAAUUAAAUGAAUGAAAAGAUACACAAAAUAAAGGUGGGGAGAGGUAAACGUUGACAGUGAACAUUAACUCUUUCCUCAUAGUCAUUCAAGUGACAGUCAUCUGACCAGAAAAGUUUUACUUUCCGAUUUACAUUCUAAUAAACAUGAGAUCCGGAACGUCUAUUGGCUGGUUUCGCGUCCGACGUCACGGCGGCUGUAAUACACCGUCGUGCUUUUAAUCUCUAGUGUACCAAGUCGACUUUUAAAACUCUCUUCUGCUCGAUCUGUGUGUACUUCCUCACCAAUACAUCCAGCUGUCAAGCCCCUAUGCAGUCCGCUCUUCUGGAGUCACUAAAGUGUUAUGUUUAAAACCCAAAGUUUCCUGCGCAGAAAGGAGACAGUGAUCUGAUGAGUGCACGCAGCGGACAGUGCCAACGAGAGCGCGUAAUCUUGAGUUUGGAGCGCACCGAAUACUUUUUUGUUCCUGUUUAAGGUGAAACAUUUAAACAUCACCAAGCUGGCUCACCCUCACCCGACCCAGCCUGUCCUGACAGCAACCCUUCAGCCUCACUGGAGAACGGUCAGCACCAAGAGGAUGGCAUCAGAGCUGGCACUGAGCGCCCCCGACCUGCCCACAAGUCCCCUGGCUAUGGAAUAUGUUAAUGACUUCGAUCUGAUGAAGUUUGAGGUGAAGAAGGAGCCACCGGAGCCCGAUCGCAGCAUCAGCCAGUGCAGCCGUCUAAUCGCCGGGGGAUCUCUGUCUUCCACCCCGAUGAGUACGCCUUGCAGCUCGGUUCCCCCUUCCCCGAGCUUCUCGGAGCCCAGCCCGGGCUCCGGGAGCGAGCAGAAGGCGCACCUGGAGGAUUUUUACUGGAUGACCGGUUACCAACAACAGCUAAACCCGGAGACGCUGGGCUUUAGUCCCGAGGACGCGGUGGAGGCGCUGAUCAGCAGCGGUCAUCAGAGUUUCGACGGCUAUGCGAGAGCUCAGCAAUUCACCGGCGCAACCGGAGCAGGAGGCGCAGCGGCUGGGGAGGAGAUGGGCUCCGCCGCCGCGGUGGUGUCCGCAGUCAUUGCCGCCGCCGCAGCGCAGAACGGGGCACCUCAUCACCACCAUCUUCACCAUCACCACCAUAGUCACCAGCCGCACCAAACUACUGGGGUCCUGUCCGGCAACCCCGCUGCCCAUCACCAGUAUGCACACCUGGACGACCGCUUCUCCGACGACCAGUUGGUCAGCAUGACCGUGCGGGAGUUGAACCGCCAGCUGCGAGGUGUCAGCAAAGAGGAGGUGAUCCGUCUCAAACAGAAGAGGAGAACCUUGAAAAACAGAGGCUAUGCGCAGUCGUGUCGCUUUAAGCGGGUCCAACAGAAGCACGUCCUGGAGGGCGAGAAGACCCAGCUCGUGCAGCAAGUGGACCACCUCAAGCAGGAGAUUUCCAGACUGGUUCGCGAAAGAGACGCGUACAAAGAGAAGUACGAAAAGCUGGUGAGCAGCGGCUUUCGAGAAAACUCGUCGAGCAGCGACAACAACCCCUCAUCUCCUGAGUUUUUCAUGUCUACCAGAAAGUUUCUUCAUCUGUGACUGUGAGGAGCUGUGAUCUUCCGGACCCUGGCCUAGAGGAGUGAGACGAUUCUUCAGAUGGCUACAUAAUCUGCCGAUCUUGUAGCAGCGGGCAGAUCAUUCUAUAAUUGUGGAACAGACCCAGAGAAGCUCUAUCAUCUCAGCUCUUGUCAGGUCACUGCUUCCCAUUCUCCACUCUACCAUAAUGUCUAGGAAUGAACUGCAACCUGCUACGCACCAUUUGACUAGUAAGUACAAAUUAUAACUACAGUCUGUGUUCUUCUCACCCAACUGUUAAGAAUGUUACUGCUUUCAAAUGCAUAGAGACUGUGUCUGUCCCCCGAAUAAUACAACCAAAUAAUAAUUUAUUUAAAAGUCAGAGAAAAAAUCUUAUCAUGAUUAAACCAAAAGACAAUAUAUUUAAUGAGCAAAACCAACGCCUAAAGUUUGGGCUACUUAAUAUUAGAUCACUAAAUCCAAAAGCAGUUAUUGUAAAUGAAAUGAUCACAGACAACAGUUUUGAUAUACUUUGCCUCACUGAAACCUGGCUUAAGCCAAAUGAUUAUUUUGGUCUAAAUGAGUCUACUCCUCCAAGCUACGGUUAUAUUCAUGAGCCACGUCCGGUUGGUCGAGGUGGUGGUGUCGCAACAAUCUUUAGAGACUUUCUUACCGUUACUCGGAGAACAAUGCAUACAUUUAAAUCAUUUGAAAUGCUUGCGUUGAACAUAACAGUUCCAAACAAAAGUAAAAAAUCAUUGGUCUCUCUUACAUUGGUUACUGUGUAUAGACCCCCUGGGCCUUACACUAAUUUUCUGAUAGAGUUCGCAGACUUCUUAUCGGAUCUAUUGGUUAACGUCGAUAAAGUACUGAUUGUUGGAGAUUUUAAUAUCCACGUAGACAGUGCUAACGAUCCAUUAGCUGUGGCGUUUAAAGAACUACUAGACUCUUGUGGUGUAACACAAUACAUCAAUAGACCUACUCAUCGCCUUAAUCAUACCCUAGACUUGAUUAUAUCUCACGGAGCCGAUCUAACCAAUAUCGAUAUUAUACCUCAAAGCGACGAUGUUUCCGAUCACCAUCUUAUAAUAUGUACACUGCGCACUGCAGAAAUCAGUUGUAUAUCUCGUUAUCGACAAGGUAGAACAAUCACCUCAACUACUAAAGAUAGUUUCGUAAAGAACUUGCCAGAUCUGACUUCUCUAAUAACCUUUCCAACGAAUAUAAAAUUGCUCGAUGACAUGACCAGCAACAUGGGCACUAUUUUCUCUAAUACAUUAGAAGCGGUCGCACCUAAGAAGUCAAAAAGGAUAAAUGAAAAGAACAUAGCACCAUGGUAUGAUAACACCACUCGCGCCCUAAAAAGAGAAACGCAUAAACUGGAGCAAAAAUGGAAACAAACCCAAUUAGAGGUCUUUAAAAUUGCAUGGAAAGAGAGUGCAAGCUGUUACAAAAAGGCACUAAAAGCGGCAAAAGCCAAGCACUUCCAUAACCUCAUAGAAAAUAACAAAAACAAUCCAAGAUUUUUAUUUAGUACAACUGCUAAACUAACAAACAAACAGACUCCACCUGACCUGGGUAUUCCGCCGCACCUUGGUAGCAAUGAAUUCAUGAAUUUUUUUACAGAGAAAAUCGAAAUAAUACGAGACAACAUAGCUAAAACCAAACCUCCAAGUUUGUCGGAAGAAUUAGUUUCAACCGUCACCCAAAAAGAAAAGCUAGAGUGUUUUUCUCCUAUAAAUCAGGAAGAUUUAAUUAAAAUUAUUGCAACAUCCAAACCGACGACAUGCUUAUUAGACCCCAUUCCGACUACUUUAUUAAAAGAGUUACUACCUGCUGUAAUUGAGCCCAUUUGUAACAUAAUCAACUCGUCUAUUAAUCUAGGACAUGUCCCAGGACCCUUUAAACUGGCUGUAAUUAAGCCUCUUAUCAAAAAACCAAAUUUAGACCCAAAUGAACUUGGAAGCUAUAGACCGAUUUCAAAUCUCCCGUACUUGUCUAAAAUACUAGAAAAAGUAGUGUCAACUCAACUGUGUACCUUCCUACAAAAUAAUGACAUGCACGAAAAGUUUCAGUCUGGCUUUAGACCGCAUCACAGCACUGAAACUGCGCUCGUUAGAAUUACAAAUGACCUUCUUAUUGCUUCAGAUAAAGGAAACAUCUCACUCUUAGUCCUGCUUGACCUUAGUGCUGCUUUCGAUACUGUAGACCAUAAAAUACUACUAGAUCGUUUACACCAUUAUAUCGGUAUUCAGGGACAGGCACUGCAAUGGUUCAGAUCUUACUUAACAGACCGAUAUCAAUACGUCCAUUUAAAUGGGAAAUCGUCAAAUCUUACGCAAGUCAAUUAUGGAUUACCUCAGGGAUCGGUUUUAGGACCCUUGCUUUUCUCCAUAUACAUGCUGCCCCUCGGCAACAUUAUUAGAAAACAUGGAAUUAGCUUCCACUGUUAUGCAGAUGAUACUCAGCUAUAUAUCUCAUCAAGACCAGAUGAUUCCUUUAAGCUAUCCAAACUGGCAGAGUGCAUCGAAGAUAUAAAACAUUGGAUGACUAGUAAUUUCCUCCUUUUAAACUCUAGCAAAACAGAAAUAUUACUUAUAGCACCAAAAUUAAGUAAACCGAAUAUCUCCGAUUACAGCCUGCAAAUUGAAAGCUGCACUGUUACUCCAACAAAUACAGUUAAAGACCUAGGCGUUAUAUUAGACGGCAACCUGUCAUUUAAAAAUCACAUCUCAAAUAUCACAAAAACAGCCUUCUUCCACCUUAGAAAUGUUGCCAAAUUACGAAAUAGUUUACGUGUUGCAGACGCAGAAAAGCUUAUUCAUGCAUUUGUGACCUCACGGCUUGACUAUUGUAAUGCUCUACUUAGUGGUUGUCCUGUAUCAUCGAUAAACAAACUACAGUUAGUUCAGAAUGCAGCUGCCAGAGUUCUUACUAGGUCAAGAAAAUACGAUCACAUAACCCCAGUUUUAUCAUCGCUUCACUGGCUACCCAUUAAGUAUCGCAUUGAUUUUAAAAUUAUUUUAAUUACUUACAAAGCCCUGAACGGUUUAGCACCUACUUACUUAACCGAGCUUUUAUCACGUUACAACCCAUCACGCUCGCUGAGAUCUCAAAACUUAGGACUUUUGACAAUACCUAGAAUAACAAAAUCCACCAAAGGUGGACGAGCUUUCUCAUACGUAGCACCUAAACUCUGGAAUAGCCUUCCUGAUACUAUUCGAGGGUCAGACACACUCUCCCAAUUUAAAUCUAGAUUAAAGACACAUCUUUUCAGCCAAGCUUUCACUUAAUGCAUAGUUAAUGAACAGCAGCUACGCUAAUUAUUCUCUUUAUUCUCUUUCCGCCUCUGCCUCGGGAUGCCCAUCCCGAGGUAGGAAGAAGUUCCACCAUGUCCAGACGACCGACAGAUGCCCAUCCCGAGGUAGGAAGAAGUUCCACCAUGUCCAGACGACCGACAGAUGCCCAUCCCCAAUUUGAGAUUACACCAGAUACAGCUGCAGACUGACUGACCAUCCCAGCUCCAUCUAAGGCAAUUCCACCAGCUGCCAAGAGAAAUAUGACCAUCGGACCAUCCCAGCUCAGACCACUACAUCCCCAACCAAGAGCAAAGACGGACUAUUUGUCUUAUUAAUGCUGAAGUUACAAUAUUUGGUAUUAAAUGCUAAACUAAAAUCACAUGUCACCAGUCUGAGUGCAGCUAUGACACGUCAGAGGGGAUCUGGCCCUCCCGGUUGAGCCUGGUUUCUCCCGAGGUUUUUUUCUCCAUUAAUCAAUCAUUGGAGUUUGGGUUCCUCGCCACAGCAGGGCAGUGUUGGCCUGCUCACCGGGAGACUGCAUUCAUUCAUUUAUUUAUUUAGAAAUUAGAUGUUAUUUAUUAGAAUGAACUUACUCGUUGUAUAAAUACCAUGCACUGUGCUGUGUUUUUUACUUUUCUGUUUUUCCUGUUUGCCCCUGUAAAGCUGCUUUGAAACAAUACACAUUGUGAAAAGCGCUAUAUAAAUAAACUUGAACUGAACUGUG